rnacentral:rRNA from 1 species
CCUACGGGAUGCAGCAGUGGGGAAUAUUGGGCAAUGGAGGCAACUCUGACGCAGCAACGCCGCGUGAAUGAUGAAGGUCUUCGGAUUGUAAAGUUCUUUUCUCAGGGAAGAAGAAAGUGGCGGUACCUUAGAAAUAAGCCUCUGCUAAAUACGUGCCAGCCGCCGCAGGAAUAAAUAGGAGGAAAGCGUUAUCCGGACUGACUGGGCGUAAAGGGUGCGUAGGUGGUUUGACAAUGUAGUAGCGCAACUCCGGAGCUCAACUUCGGAACUACUACUAAAACUGUUGGACGUGAGUGCAGGAGGGGCAAUCGGAAUUCCGAGUGUAGCGGUGGAAUGCGUAGAUAUUAGGAGGAACACCAGUGGCGAAGGCGGACUGCUAGACUGUAACUGACACUGAGGCACGAAAGCGUGGGGAGCAAACAGGAUUAGAUACCCUGGUAGUC